GUACACUCCUGCGGGAGGCAGCAGUGGGGAAUUUUGGACAAUGGGCGAAAGCCUGAUCCAGCAAUGCCGCGUGUGUGAAGAAGGCCUUCGGGUUGUAAAGCACUUUUGUCCGGAAAGAAAUCCUUGGCUCUAAUACAGUCGGGGGAUGACGGUACCGGAAGAAUAAGCACCGGCUAACUACGUGCCAGCAGCCGCGGUAAUACGUAGGGUGCGAGCGUUAAUCGGAAUUACUGGGCGUAAAGCGUGCGCAGGCGGUUUGCUAAGACCGAUGUGAAAUCCCCGGGCUCAACCUGGGAACUGCAUUGGUGACUGGCAGGCUAGAGUAUGGCAGAGGGGGGUAGAAUUCCACGUGUAGCAGUGAAAUGCGUAGAGAUGUGGAGGAAUACCGAUGGCGAAGGCAGCCCCCUGGGCCAAUACUGACGCUCAUGCACGAAAGCGUGGGGAGCAAACAGGAUUAGAAACCCUUGUAGUCCCA
rnacentral:rRNA from 1 species